UACGUAGGGUGCGAGCGUUGUCCGGAAUUAUUGGGCGUAAAGAGCUCGUAGGCGGUGUGUCACGUCGGCCGUGAAAACCUGCAGCUUAACUGUGGGCGUGCGGUCGAUACGGGCAUCACUGGAGUUCGGCAGGGGAGACUGGAAUUCCUGGUGUAGCGGUGAAAUGCGCAGAUAUCAGGAGGAACACCAAUGGCGAAGGCAGCUCGCUGGAACGGUACUGACGCUGAGGCGCGAAAGCGUGGGGAGCAAACAGG
rnacentral:rRNA from 1 species